rnacentral:miRNA from 1 species
GCUAACACAUCCCUGCCAAUCUCCGGCAGACCCUCCCUCCCAGACCCUCCUAAUUCCUGGACAGCAUCCAUGUUGAAGCUGCCUUCAACAUGGAUGCUGUCCAGGAAUUAGGAGGGUCUGGGAGGGAGGGUCUGCCGGAGAUUGGCAGGAAUGUGUUAG